AAUUUUCUCUAGCACCACAACUCAAAAGCAUCAAUUCGUCAAAGAAAGCACUCAGCCUUCUUUAUGGUCCAUCUCUCACAUCCAUGAUCUUGAGCCUCUUUAUAUCCUCAUUGUAAUACAUUAGCAUCUGAAUGACCCACCCACAGGUGACAGUCCUGAGCUAACCAUAACAGGCCAAAAAGUGGGCGGUGGCCCAUUUCUGCAAAUCCCCACCCCUUCCCCCCAGAUAGCUGGACUACUCCUCCCACUCAUUAGCCUAUGAAAUUACCCACCUUUAUAAAAACUGACAACCCCAUACCCUGGUACCUCUCGCCCACACUCUGUGGAGUCUUUCUCUCUAAAUAAAUCCACUUCUUGCCUAUCAGUCUCUCACUGCAUUAUUUCUGUGAUGAGACAUCAAGAACCUGAGCUUUGUUAAGGCCUGAGACCAGAAAAAGCCCUAUGAUCAAGACCAACAAUGUGCUUUCCCUUCUCUCCAGACCUGUUCCAGGUGCUGCCGAAAAGAUAAGUUGUGGCAUGUGGGAUCAAAUCCAGGCCCUUCCAUUGCAAGCUCAGCCCUUGGACCAUCAGGGAAGUCCCAAGAAUGCUGACUUUUAAAUACUAAAUAUUGGUAGCAUUAUCUCUCAAUUUUUAAGAUGAUUUUUUGGGGGCAUUUAUUUUGUGUUAACCUUUUAGAGUGUCAUUCAGUGUCUUCUAUUAUCAAAUGUCUGUAUCAGAUAGAGAUCAUGUUAACAUGUUAUUGACAUACAUAAUCUUGUCACAAUAUGUUGGUUCAUAAUAAUAAUAAAUGUGCAUUUAUUAUUACAUUGCUUUUUUGUAGCAAGCCUCUGAAAUGUUUAGUAUAACCUUAUUACAGAGAACUGAUUAUUAUUAAGAUCACUCACUGUUAUUUAAAACAUGUAAAUAAAGUGUUAUGAAAAAUACAGAACAGUAUAUAACCUCAAGAAUUCCUGGGGAUUUUUAUUUCUUAUUCCCAGAUCCAGAAGGUUGUAAGUUGAUAAUUUUUGAAGCUGUUCAUAUCAUGAAGGGGUUCCUAAUGCUGCUAUAUGUUGUCAUAUGUGUUUAAAGUUUUCUGUAAUAAAAAGUAAAACAAAACUG